CAGCAUACAGUGAUGCGCAUUAAAUGUCCGCGUGUACCACGUGACCUCAUUCAAUGUUUGUAAACACGCGUCAAGCACAUGUGAUCCUGAUGUGUUUAGGUACGUGUGGCGCCUCGCAGCCAAUCAUUUGCUGGGGGAGUGUCUGAGGCGGUGCCUGACUAAAACCGAUAGGGAUCUUGUAAUGAUGCGAGGAAGAAUGGAAAUAGUGAGUUGUGUUUGGAUUGCAACGAGGAAAGUGCAGGCAUUCUUGGCAUGUGGCUAACCUACGAGUUCUGACGAAGUCAACAGCUUUGAUUUAUACAUUGCUUCGAAAUGAUACAGGAUGAUCUGCAUUCCAGUGCCGCCCCUGGAAGCUGAAUUCAUAUGGUGCCAUAGAGUAUCCCAUGUCAUCUAGCACCAUUUGAAAUCAGUGUUCUUGGGGUGGUCUAUGACGUCACACAAGAAAUCUGAACUUUGCCUUUUUUACAAAUAAAUAAACAAACAUUUGUGAUGCCUCUAUGUCUUUGAUCAUUUGAUUUGCAAUAAUAAGUGAAUUAAACUGUAUUUCUAUGAAGUGCUGCAAAGUCUGAUUUGUCAUUUGCCACCUUCCCAUAAGUUUCUUUACAUUACCAUUACAUGAUAUUACAUUUAUUAACUAUUAUUAAAUGUAUAAUACAUUUUUAUUGAACCUA